ACUGGAAUGAACGGCUAAAUGAGGACUAAACUGUCUCUUGCGAGCUAGUCAAUGAAAUUGAUUUUCCAGUACAAAAGCUGGAAUAGACCCAUAAGACGAAAAGACCCUGUGGAGCUUAAAAACCAGAUUCAUUAAGAAUGUUUCCUCGGAUUUUCAGUUGGGGCGACUUCGGAGUACAGAAAAACCUCCGAAAAAUAUAAACUUGUAUUAAGAUCAACACACCAAAAAUAACACAUAGACCCAGCAAUUUUUAUAAGUAUGUCUGACCAAUGAACCAAGUUACCCCAGGGAUAACAGCGCCAUCCCCUUUUAGAGUCCCUAUCGACAAGGGGGUUUACGACCUCGAUGUUGGAUCAGGACACCCCAAUGGUGCAGCCGCCAUUAAAG
rnacentral:rRNA from 1 species